CUGUGGGGGCAGCCCGUGUGGGAGGGAGCUCGGACGUGAAGGAGCCCGGGCAAGCUCCGGGCGUUCCCCGGGAAAAGGGUGAAAUUCCCUACGGAAAAAUAAGGGCUGAGUGCUGGGGUGUCCCGGCCCGGAUCCUGCAGGGAUCAGCUCCUGCAGCGCCCUGUCCCUGUGCCGCGAGGUGUCCGUGCGUGUCCCCCUUGUGCCAUGUCCCCGGGUGUUCUGACGCCCGCUCGGUUCCCUGAGAGUGACACCAACAUGGGACACUUUCACUUUGGGGUUUCUGGCAGCUCUGUCAGCUGUCCUCUGCAGGAUGUGGUAUUGCAGUUGAAGCACACAGGAGAGCUGGGCUGAGGAAUACAAUUUGCUCUUUCUCUACUUUCUUCUGUGAGCUGGUGUUCUCCUGUGAAGAUUUUCCCUCCAAGUAAUGCAGUUAGAGAGAGAGAGAGGGAAAAGAAAAAAAAGGUAGAGUAUUUCAUUUUCUCUUCACAUGGACUUACACUUCUGGUUUUGAUAUAAAGAGAAUCGACUGAAGUAGUGUAUUGCCUCCAUACCCAAACAGGAUGAAAGCCCCACUGUGUUAAAACACUAAAGCAGCAUUGUAUUACUAUUAAGCAGGUGUCAAACAGUGCCUAAACUAGUAAAACAAAAGGUGAAAAAGGGGCUUUGCUAAGGAGCUUCAAUUGCAGUUGGGUGGCUGCCUGGUGUGCAAGGUGUGCCUCGCUGCUCUGUCAGGUGCACCCCCAAGUUUGAGGUAAUCCUAGGCUUGGUUUAAGAUGUGGUGGUGUGAUAUGUUGACAAGUAGGGGUAGGUGUGUGAUGAAAAAUUCCCCAGGCACAGGCGUGCUCGAGCCAAGGAAAUGCUGAGCACCACGUGUGUGGGUACUGCAAGAGGGGUGAGAGGCUCCAAGAGAGGGGAGGGAGCCUGGCACCUCCCUGCCUGCUCCUGCUCCCCGAGCUCUGGUGGAAAAAGGUUCACUUUCCUUGUGUUACAGACUGAGCUCUGGUGUGGAGACAUGUGUGAAGAGAUGGGUUUAGGCAGGGUCAUUUUACAGUGUUGUAAUUCUGAAUGCUCAGGAGGCAAUAAGGGGGUUUUUCUCUUUGUAGUGUGUUAUACUCAGAGCUUUCUUCGGCAGGUGGAAACGGGCCAUCAUCAAUAGAACAGGAAUGUGAGACAACAGCGUGGAUAGCAGACAGUAUCUAGGUCUUCUGUAGGGGAAAAAAUGUCAAGUGUUGAAAAUGAAUGGGUCUGCACCCCAGAAAAAAGGUGAGGGAGGAUUCCCCAUCUGGGUGGCAGAGAGAAUGGGCUGGGAAGGAGAAGGGAGGGUUUAGAAAAGGAGACAAAUUCAUGCAGUAGGAAAACACACAGGAGAACUUACAGAGAGAGGGCUUCAGCGUUAUUAAAGAGUGCAAGGACUUGAUUACAGAACUUUAUUUUGAGCAUGAAAUUAUUAAUGAAGACAGAUCAUGCAUCAAAUAGUUGUAAACAAAGAACUCGGGGUUUUCUGGAAAUUAAAACGGGUAUGUCUGCAAUGCUCUGCGGCAAACACUGCAUCUGGCUUUGAACAAAGUAACUAUUCUGUGAGACAGUUCCAAGGGCAUAGUCAGUGAAGAACUGCUCCUGUUUGCCACAGUUUUAAUCAAUCAUUAAUCAGCCUUUCUUCUUUCCAGUUCUGUUUUCUUCUGCUUCUGCCUUGCUCAGCUCCAGGCCUUUAUUCAGAGUGGUGCAGUUGCACUGGUGCCCUGGCAUUGAGGAAAGGAGUUUCCGGGACUAAUUCUGCCACAAACAUUCCAGCUAAAUGCAACAGCCUGGAAGGGCUCCAGAGCAGAGACCCUGAAAAACACAACCCAGCUGGUCUGAGAGAUAAUAGCUGCCAAGUGAGUGUAGCUGUCUGCGAGGAGUCACGCACAGGGAUGUGGCUUUGACUCUUCUGUCCUUGGAUAUUUUGAAAUGUGAAUCAAAGUCAUUAGGCUGCUUUUGCCAUGCUAAUGAAAUGGUCUUGCCUAAAGACUAAAGGAGACACAAAUCUGUUUUUAAUGGCCAUAAAGGUUCUGGAUUGUGGCAUGGGUUACUGUCUACUCACUCACAACUGCAUAGUGGCAUAGAAUGUUUCUUUCUGCUAAUUGCAUUCUUACAGUCCUGAUAUUCAAGAAAAGACAUUUUUCCUUCUGUCUCUAGGAAUUUUGCCUCUAUUCCUUACAAAGUCAGUAGACCAGUGUGCCUGAGGGCAUGGUGACUGCAGGUGUGUGGUUGUGCACAGCUGGGUGUGGAUAUGGGAGCAUUUCUCUUCACCAGCUUGAGCUGAUGGGUGACAAAUCAAACUCUUCUACACUGUGAAUUUGAAUAUUGCUUUGAUUACAUAGGCUGCACUGGUUUAUACUCUAAGUUUUGGUUUAGACAAACCUGACAGAAAUGAAAUGUAGUUGUUAAUAUUAAAGUUGGUGGAUGAGGUAAAAAGGAUUUUAUGUAUAACUGUAAAGAAAAAUGCACAUCCAGUAGAAAUAUUCUGCAGAAGCAGCAGAUUUUAUUGUGAUUCUGUGGUGAGGUCAGGAAUAGCUCUAUCAGGAAAGGCAUUGAGAGUGUUCUCCCUGAGAUGCAGAAUGCUUUCUGGAGCUUCCCAAAUGAAUGAGGAACAAAGUGCAGCAGCCACCAAAGAGAUGCAGAUGCUGCUCACCAGCAGCCUGGCCACCCCUACCACACAGUGCUGUGAGCCCGGCAAAGCAGGUUUCAUCUGGAUUAGCCUUCU